rnacentral:rRNA from 1 species
CCUACGGGAGGCAGCAGUAGGGAAUCUUCCGCAAUGGACGAAAGUCUGACGGAGCAACGCCGCGUGAACGAUGAAGGCCUUCGGGUCGUAAAGUUCUGUUGUCAGGGAAGAACAAGUAUCGGAGUAACUGCCGGUACCUUGACGGUACCUGACCAGAAAGCCACGGCUAACUACGUGCCAGCAGCCGCGGUAAUACGUAGGUGGCAAGCGUUGUCCGGAAUUAUUGGGCGUAAAGCGCGCGCAGGCGGUUCCUUAAGUCUGAUGUGAAAGCCCCCGGCUCAACCGGGGAGGGUCAUUGGAAACUGGGGAACUUGAGUGCAGAAGAGGAGAGCGGAAUUCCACGUGUAGCGGUGAAAUGCGUAGAGAUGUGGAGGAACACCAGUGGCGAAGGCGGCUCUCUGGUCUGUAACUGACGCUGAGGCGCGAAAGCGUGGGGAGCGAACAGGAUUAGAUACCCUGGUAGUCCACGCCGUAAACGAUGAGUGCUAAGUGUUAGAGGGUUUCCGCCCUUUAGUGCUGCAGCAAACGCAUUAAGCACUCCGCCUGGGGAGUACGGCCGCAAGGCUGAAACUCAAAGGAAUUGACGG